UAUGACAUUCUUUUCUUGAUGCUUAACUUCUCGGUAGACCUUUUUGUGAUAUCAUAACACAUCUAUCUAUACUUGAAGCUAUCUCAACAACCUUUUAAGAGUCAAUGAUGCAGGUGAACACCGUUUUCCAGUUGCUUCUAGCUGCUGCUGCUCUUCUGCAACCUGAAUCGGGCAGUGAAGAAACUCAGGUGUACAUAACUUGAGCUGGUUGGUGGCUUCAACAACGACCGCAUCUGCAGUUGCUUAUGGUGCCCAACAUCUUUGCGGAUGAUAAGCUUUCUCUGCCCUAGAAGAACUGUGGUGGUCGAGAUCAACCAGCAACGGGAAGUGAUUUUAGGUUAUCUUUCAUGUGCUUUUCUAAAGCAAUAGGUUAUUGUGAUCAAUAAAUUGCAUUUUAGGGAAAA